CCGUUAGGGGACUGCGGAGGAUCAUUACCUAGAGUUGUAGGCUUUGCCUACCAUCUCUUACCCAUGUCUUUUGAGUACCUUCGUUUCCUCGGCGGGUCCGCCCGCCGAUUGGACAAACUUAAACCCUUUGUAAUUGAAAUCAGCGUCUGAAAAAACAUAAUAGUUACAACUUUCAACAACGGAUCUCUUGGUUCUGGCAUCGAUGAAGAACGCAGCGAAAUGCGAUAAGUAGUGUGAAUUGCAGAAUUCAGUGAAUCAUCGAAUCUUUGAACGCACAUUGCGCCCCUUGGUAUUCCAUGGGGCAUGCCUGUUCGAGCGUCAUUUGUACCUUCAAGCUCUGCUUGGUGUUGGGUGUUUGUCUCGCCUCUGCGUGUAGACUCGCCUUAAAACAAUUGGCAGCCGGCGUAUUGAUUUCGGAGCGCAGUACAUCUCGCGCUUUGCACUCAUAACGACGACGUCCAAAAAGUACUUUUUACACUCUUGACCUCGGAUCAGGUAGGGAUACCCGCUGAACUUAAGCAUAUCAAUA
rnacentral:rRNA from 1 species